rnacentral:lncRNA from 1 species
AAAUAUUCAAUUCAAUUUCAGUCUCAAUUAGACAUAUGAAGCAACAAAAUGAUGAAAAAGUGUGAGAGAAUAGACAACACACCUCUUCAAUUGCACCAAAUGGAGGUAAAGCAGCAGAUGGAGCCACCGUGUCCAGCGCCACGCGUAGGUAAUCCUUCGAAAUUUUUCCAUUUUUAUCUUUAGGCAAAGUCUCUAUAGCUGAGUUCAAAAUCUGCAUCCCAUCGUGGAGGAAUUAAUAUAUCAAUAAGCUAGGAACAAGAAAGAUGUUUCAAGUAAUUGAUAUCCAAAAUGAAAAUAGACCAACCUUGUCUAAUUCAAACUUGUUGGAUAAUAGUCUUUUAACACCAUUUCCAUCAAAGGUGCUUUCACUAUGAGCAACUAUAACAGGUUGCUCCUUAAGGCGAUUCGCCACGCUCAAUGCUACUUUCUUAAAUUCCUCCAAAAAUAUCUCUUGAGAAACAGGUUUAUCUAAAUCAUGCCCAUGUUCAGAAAGCAGUGCCGGUUCCACAAUGUUGCUAAUAACCUACACAAAGGAUGAUCAAGCCACACAAAAAUUGGUAUAUAGUUUAUAAUGUUUUGAAGUCAAUGAUAUAGAAAAAGUUUAGAAACAAGACAAAAUGAAAUUGGUCUCCCAUGUAAAAAAAUUGAAACCAUGUCGUGUAGACGCGCUAAAUUAUUAGAGACCACUUCCAUUUUAUAUCUGUCUAAUUUUCGUCGAUGGUUCAACUUUUUUUCUAGUAUGAAUUAUUGGCUACCCAAGAAUCAGAAGUAGGAGGAAUCCCUUGAUCAACAUUGAGUUUGCU